rnacentral:rRNA from 1 species
UACGGGGGGGGCAAGCGUUGUUCGGAAUUACUGGGCGUAAAGGGCUUGUAGGUGGCCAACUAAGUCAGACGUGAAAUCCCUCGGCUUAACCGGGGAACUGCGUCUGAUACUGGAUGGCUUGAGCGUGGGAGAGGGAUGCGGAAUUCCAGGUGUAGUGGUGAAACGCGUAGAUAUCUGGAGGAACACCAGUGGCGAAGGCGGCAUCCUGGCCCUGUCCUGACGCUCAGGGGCGAAAGCGUGGGGAGCAAACCGG